UGUGUUAAGCUGUUUGUCUCGCUGUCUGUCUGUGGCUUUGCGCCGUGGUUAGGUGUUAGUGUGGGAGACAUCUACAACUUGUAGUAGAGGUGUCUUGUGGUUUUUAACAUGGUCUCGGGGGAUGAUUGAAUGACCUCUUCAGAUCCAGUAAUGUAUGAUGUAUGAUGUGGUGGGCUAAACCACAGACUCUCAACUUUACAGAGUGGAGGCCAGUGAUAAUACACGAUUUCUCUUCCUGUAGAUAAGACUGUUUGGCUGCCUGAAAUCCCCUCCUAUGCCAGUGAAAUGCAUUUACUGAGUUGUCGUUGCCGAUCACUCCCAGUCAGUAGGUACAGUAGGUCUUAUGCUCCCAGUCAGAUACAGUAGGUCUUAUACUCCCAGUCAGAUACAGUAGGUCUCAUACUCCCAGUCAGAUACAGUAGGUCUCAUACUCCCAGUCAGAUACAGUAGGUCUCAUACUCCCAAUCAGAUACAGUAGGUCUCAUACUCCCAGUCAGAUACAGUAGGUCUUAUACUCAAUUCUACAGUAACCAGUUGACAGUCCUGCUGACACUGUUGACAACAUCUAUCUUGCUCUCAGUGGUAAUCGCAUCAAUCUGUCAAUACUGCAGUCUUCAUCCUUGUUACAUCUUGAGUCAAGAUGGACUGGAAUAAGUUGCAACCAACCUAAAGAGCAAUUCUUCUUUUUCCCCCCUCUCUCAGCCAAUCACAAUUUCCAAUGUGUUGGGAUACAUCUUACUUUAACUCUGAACCUGACCCAAAAAUAACCUGAAAGCUGUUGCCCAUCAACAGAGUUACAGUUGACAGUUUGUUGAUAGAUCUGUAGAACACAUAUAGGGAACUAUCCAAAUAUAGUGUGAUCAAACAAUGGGAUACAAGAUUAUCUAGAUGUUUUCUAAAAUCUCUGGUAUUCCGUUCACACUGUCCAGUAACAGUACAUUACUAUCUUCACUCCUCUAACCAGGCUGACAACUGCUGUUAGUGGUCCUUCCGUCUACAGAGUGGGGUUUCCAGUCCGGAGCUGCCUGUGUAAUGUUUAUCCCAAACUAGUCUCACACUCCUUUGCUACGGCUGUGUGUGUCCCUCUGUGUGUGUGUGUUGCUCUGCUACUGUUUGAUCAAUACCUGGCACAGACGCCAGCUGCUUGUCCUCCCCCUGUACUCUACUGCUGCUGCAGUGCCUCACUUUGUUAGAGAGCAGCAGGAGUUGGAUGGAUGGAGACUACUAGGAGGACUCUGGGUCAACCCUGAUAGGGUGUAAUAGUGUGUAGUAGUGUGUAGUAAUGUGUAGUAAGUAGUAUGUACUAGUUUAUAGUAGUGUGUAGUAGUGUGUAGUAAUGUGUUGUAAUGUGUAGUAGUGUGUAAUAGUGCGUAGUAGUGUGUAGUAGGGUGUAGUAGUGUGUAGUAGUUUGUACUAAUGUGUAGUAGUGUGUAGUAGGGUGUAAUAAUGUGUAAUAGUGUGUAGUAGUGUGUAGUCGGGUGUACGUUUGUAAUAGUCUGUAGAAGUUUGUAAUAGUGUGAAGUAGGGUGUAGUAGUGUGUAGUAGUUUGUAAUAGUGUGUAGUAGUGUGUAGUAGUUUGUAGCAGUGUGUAGUAGGGUGUAAUAGUGUGUAUUAGUGUGUAGUAGUGUGUAAUAGUUUGUAGUAGUUUAUAAUAGUGUGUAGUAGUGUGUAAUAGUGUGUAGUAGUUUGUAAUAAUGUGUAGUAGUGUGUAGUAGGGUGUAAUAGUGUGUAUUAGUGUGUAGUAGUUUCUAAUAGUGUGUAGUAGGAUGUAGUAGGGUGUAGCAGUACUAGUCAGACA
rnacentral:lncRNA from 13 species